GCGCCUGGCCGAGGAGCGAGCGGCGGAGCCGGGCCUGAGCGAGCUGCUGCGGCGCGGGCCGCGCUGCCCGUCGUUGGCCGACGCGCUGGAGGGCCUGCGGGACGCGGAGCCUUACUACCGGCACCUGCACCGUCCCGUGGCGGGGCACUGCAGGGCUUGAGACGUGCAUCGUUCUCGCUGCCCGAGCUUGAUGCAGAGUACUGGCACUGGAAACCUGGCUGUGAGGAAAUGGGGGGCAGGAGGAAGUUCAGGGGGGGAUGCCAAGCUCCUUUGGGUGUCAUUCGGAGCCACUGGGUGCCUGCUCAAGUAGUUUGGUGACUCGAGAUCUGCAGGGUGUCCCUGAAACCCAUCGGGUGCCCCUCCAGUGCUGGUGAGCUCAUUACAGAAAUUAAGCUGAGAGGCAGUGCAGGCUGCAGCAACUGUGUACUGGCUGUUUGUGAUCCUGAGGGCUUGGCAAAGAGCAGUCAGUCCCUCCAACUGCAGAAAAGUGCAGCUGUCCAGCUCUUUCAAAAGAAUCAGGGGGAGAGGUCCCCUGGAAACUGGUCCUUAAAGAAAUAGGAAUCAAACAGAGCCAACAACUCUAAGGACAUCUCUGGGAGAAUGCAAGAACUCUGUCCCCACGAAGAGGCAGGAAGCCAGCAAGGCUGAGCAAGGAACAGCUGGUCAAAGCAAGGGAGGCAGACAAGCAGGGGGCAGGGAGGGGGGAGUGAGCACACUGAAAAGAAAUGAAACAGAAUGAGGUAUAGUGGAGAUGAAUGAGGCAGAGUGGUGCGAAGUCAUAGGGAAUGCAAUGAAAUGAAAUGGAUGGGAGCGGAAUGCGAUGAAAAGAGGUGGAGUAGAGUCGAGUGAAAAAGAACAGAGUGAAAGGGAAUGCAAUAAAAUAGGGUGGCGUGCUGCUGGAAUGUACAGUUCUAUAAAGGAACUCUAAAUUUCCAUUGCAUACCUACUAUCACUGCUUCUUCCAGGAGCUUCACCCAAAAACUGGCUUAAGAACAUUCUCUUACCCUUGAAUUAGGAUCCUGAUGAGUCUUCUGUGCAUGUAAUACUGUGAGGGUCUUCAUAUGUGUGUGGUCUGCAUGGCUGGCCGUACCUACCCUUCAGCUGCUCCAGAUGAUUAUUUGGGGAUGACCCUACAUACCCAGUACCAUACAUUCCAAAUUGCCACAAACAUCAACUAAUCAGCAAACAUUUCUGGCCAGACAUAAACGGGCUGCUUGGUGGUUCUAUGCCAUGGCCAUCUUCCCGCCACAAGCUGUGGUAGCCUCUGCUGGAUGGCAAGGAUCAGCAUCAGCUAAUGAUACUGCAGCAGCGCUGAAUUUAACACAUCAAGCUAGCAGAUUGAUUAGCUGGAGAUUACAACAAACACAGAAAAUUGUACCAUUGAAGCACAUGGAAUUCGACAUAGUGAUUGCUGCCCAGGAGGGUACCGGUGCAAUCAUUAACAGGUACUGUUGUGUAUACAGCCCUGAGGCCUUCAAAAAUGGAACUCGUACGAUGACACAGACGAAGACCCAAAUUAUUCACACUCUCACUAUUAUUCACCUCACAAUUAUUAUUAUUAUUCACAAUUAUUAUUAUAAUUCACCUCACAAUUAUGACACCCAAAGGAGCUUGGCAUCUCCUCCUGAACUUCCUCCUGCCCCCCAUUUCCUCACAGCCAGGUUUCCAGUGCCAGUACUCUGCAUCAAGCUCGGGCAGCGAGAAUGACGCACGUCUCAAGCCCUGCAGUGCAGCACUGUCAUCCCCUUGGGGAUGCCCAGCCCUCUGGAACCACCAUGGCACAGGCGAGCCUGCUGCCACCCCGUAGCUGCAGUUGGAUUCCCCACCGCAGCCGUGUGCCACAUCACACAGAGCCCCUAAGCAUGGCAAAACUGCAGCGUUUUCAAAGGAGCUUCUGUCUGGAGACAAUGCCACCACGAGGCCAAAGUCCCCACAGGCCAGGUGCCACGGACACCGCUGGGACACUGAGUGGUCGGUGGCAGCAUCAGUAGCUCAAGGGGACGCAGCCCUGGUGACACGGUCACAAGAAUGCUGUCAGUGACAACCACAACCCUCAAGUCCGGUGGGAUCCAAAGGGAGAAUGAAGCCAUAUAAAGGCUGGACCGUCUUGCAGCAAGGGUGGAGACCUCACCUACGAGUGGAUGCACUGCAUAGGAGCUCCCAGCUGCCAGGAACAGGCUCUCCAGAACCUCACUGCAACUGGGGCUCCCCAGCGACCACAGAUCUGGGCGAUGGUAAAGUGUGAGGGCAACUGAUGCACUUCUUUGAAUGCUGCCUGCAACCUUUGUGCUGACGCUGUCCACUGGCAAAACACCAGCAAAGCCGCCCCUCACCCGCUCCCAGCCGCUGCAGCCAUGAGAGCUUCCUGUGACACGCCUGGCAGCGGCAUUCGGGCCUCAUCAUCCUCCUCCUCAAUCGCCAAUGUGCACCCCCGGAACCUUCAGCGCCCCUGUGGAGCAUUACACUGAGAGAUUCUGCUAUAAAGAAGUGAAUCAGCUUCCCUGCAUUGCCCGAAACACCUGAACUGAAUAGCAGAGGGAUGUUCCUAUUUGGUUAAACCAAACACAACGGCCACGUACACGGCAGAAGGGGCAGAAGGGAUUCUAGUAGUGUGCACAAGCAAUACACUGCAGAGAAAUGAACUACUGCUUACCCACUGCCUGGCGGCACACGGGGCUCAGACAGAAUGGGAAAUGGAUUUGGGUGAUGAAUAUGGUUAGCUAUUAGCUGCCAGGUAGCUGUGAUUCAUACCAGCUGCAACUGAAUCACGCUGACAGCUGGAAAAGGACGUUUGAAUAUUAACAGCGUUGUCAGUUAUACAGCACUGAUUUCAACUGCUUUGCUGGUUUUCUUUAUUUUUUUAUUUUUUUUAAUUUCAUUUCGUUUAAAUGAAUGCUCACAGAAUUGUAAGACACCAAAUAAAAUGUACUCGUAGCUUA